GAUGAACGCUGGCGGCGUGCUUAACACAUGCAAGUCGAACGGAAAGGCCCAAGCUUGCUUGGGUACUCGAGUGGCGAACGGGUGAGUAACACGUGGGUGAUCUGCCCUGCACUUCGGGAUAAGCCUGGGAAACUGGGUCUAAUACCGGAUAGGACCACAUUUUGGAUGGUGUGGUGGAAAGUUUUUCGGUGUGGGAUGAGCUCGCGGCCUAUCAGCUUGUUGGUGGGGUAAUGGCCUACCAAGGCGUCGACGGGUAGCCGGCCUGAGAGGGUGUACGGCCACAUUGGGACUGAGAUACGGCCCAGACUCCUACGGGAGGCAGCAGUGGGAAAUAUUGCACAAUGGGCGCAAGCCUGAUGCAGCGACGCCGCGUGGGGGAUGACGGCCUUCGGGUUGUAAACUCCUUUCGCUAGGGACGAAGCGCAAGUGACGGUACCUGGAGAAGAAGCACCGGCUAACUACGUG
rnacentral:rRNA from 1 species